CCUAAUUUUGUUUAGCAACUUAAAUUUCAAGGCAGGUGAAAUUAUUUAUUUUUGCACAGCCAUCCCAAUUCAAAACGCUUGAGAUAGAGAUGACUUUUAUAAGCCAUUGUUCAUACAUCUGUAUAUCCCAAUAGUGAUGGGUGCAGUAGUGGCAGUGAAGAGGCAGACCAGAGGUUCAGUGAUAUCGAGGACCACCGACAUUGCAAUUCAGCAGAUAAACAGUCUCCAGCAGGAAGGACAGGAUGUUUUGGGCCAGAUUCAUGAUGGAGAGACUACUGAUUGCACUAACCAAACAACCUACAAAAUGAAUGUCUGUUUGAUGCAACAUCUUUUGAUGCAGACAACCCUAUUUAUGAAGGAUCAAACAUCACAAAAGGACAGUUACUCUCAAUGUUGAUGGCCCAUACACUUAAACAUCAUGUGUCUGGUGUAGCAUUAAAGGACAUGCUGGAGGUGUUAAAUGUAAUUGAUCCA